rnacentral:rRNA from 1 species
GACGAACGCUGGCGGCGUGCCUAAUACAUGCAAGUCGAACGCAGUGGGGACGGGGGAGUAACACGUGGGUAACCUCCCAUCAGAGGGGAUAACACGUGGAAAAAGGUGCUAAACCGAUACUGAUGGAUGGAACCGCGGGGCAUUAGCUAGUUGGUGAGGUAACGGCUCACCAAGGCCACGAUGCAUAGCCGACCUGAGAGGGUGAGCGGCCACACUGGGACUGAGACACGGCCCAGACUCCUACGGGAGGCAGCAGUAGGGAAUCUUCGGCAAUGGACGAAAGUCUGACCCAGCAACGCCGCGUGAGUGAAUAAGGUUUUCGGAUUGUAAAACUCUGUUGUUAGAGAAGCGGUAUCUAACCAGAAAGCCACGGCUAACUACGUGCCAGCAGCCGCGGUAAUUC